rnacentral:rRNA from 1 species
GACGAACGCUGGCGGCGUGCCUAAUACAUGCAAGUCGAACGCAUUUUCUUUCACCGUAGCUUGCUACACCGAAAGAAAAUGAGUGGCGAACGGGUGAGUAACACGUGGGUAACCUGCCCAUCAGCGGGGGAUAACACUUGGAAACAGGUUCUAAUACCGCAUAAUUCCAUUUACCACAUGUUAGAUGGUUGAAAGGCGCUUUGUCGUCACUGAUGGAUGGACCGGCGGUGCAUUACCUAGUUGGUGGGGUAACGGCCUACCAAGGCUGCGAUGCAUAGCCGACCUGAGAGGGUGAUCGGCCAAACUGGGACUGAGACACGGCCCAGACUCCUAAGGGAGGCAGCAGUAGGGAAUCUUCGGCAAUGGACGCAAGUCUGACCGAGCAACGCCGCGUGAGUGAAGAAGGUUUUCGGAUCGUAAAACUCUGUUGUUAGAGAAGAACAAGGAUGAGAGUGGAAAGUUCAUCCCUUGACGGUAUCUAACCAGAAAGCCACGGCUAACUACGUG